CCAACUGACAACAAGAGAGGAGG
rnacentral:piRNA from 1 species